rnacentral:rRNA from 1 species
UACGAAGGGUGCAAGCGUUAUCCGGAUUCACUGGGUUUAAAGGGUGCGUAGGUGGGUAAGUAAGUCAGUGGUGAAAUCUCCGAGCUUAACUUGGAAACUGCCAUUGAUACUAUUGAUCUUGAAUUCUGUUGAGGUGGGCGGAAUAAGUCAUGUAGCGGUGAAAUGCAUAGAUAUGACUUAGAACACCAAUUGCGAAGGCAGCUCGCUAAACAGAUAUUGACGCUGAGGCACGAAAGCGUGGGGAUCAAACAGG